rnacentral:rRNA from 1 species
GACGAACGCUGGCGGCGUGCUUAACACAUGCAAGUCGAACGGAAAGGCCCUGCUUUUGUGGGGUGCUCGAGUGGCGAACGGGUGAGUAACACGUGAGUAACCUGCCCUUGACUUUGGGAUAACUUCAGGAAACUGGGGCUAAUACCGGAUAGGAGCUCCUGCUGCAUGGUGGGGGUUGGAAAGUUUCGGCGGUUGGGGAUGGACUCGCGGCUUAUCAGCUUGUUGGGGGGGUAGUGGCUUACCAAGGCUUUGACGGGUAGCCGGCCUGAGAGGGUGACCGGCCACAUGGGGACUGAGAGACGGCCCAGACUCCUACGGGAGGCAGCAGUGGGGAAUAUUGCACAAUGGGCGGAAGCCUGGUGCAGCAACGCCGCGUGCGGGAUGACGGCCUUCGGGUUGUAAACCGCUUUCGCCUGUGACGAAGCGUGAGUGACGGUAAUGGGUAAAGAAGCACCGGCUAACUACGUG